rfam:Verticillium albo-atrum VaMs.102 supercont1.3 genomic scaffold, whole genome shotgun sequence.
GCCGUUAUAGCUCAGUGGUUAGAGCAUCGCACUCGUACCAUCCCGACAUGCGGGGGUCCACGGUUCAACUCCGUGUAGCGGCA